rnacentral:rRNA from 1 species
AUUGAACGCUGGCGGCAGGCCUAACACAUGCAAGUCGAACGAGUGGCGGACGGGUGAGUAAUGUGGGAAACUGCCCGAUGGAGGGGGAUAACAACAGGAAAAGGUAGCUAAUACAGCAUAACAUCAGAGAUGCCCAGAUGGGAUUAGCUCGUGGGUGGGGUAACGGCUCCCCACGGCGACGAUCCCUAGCUGGUCUGAGAGGAUGACCAGCCACACUGGAACUGAGACACGGUCCAGACUCCUACGGGAGGCAGCAGUGGGGAAUAUUGCACAAUGGGCGCAAGCCUGAUGCAGCCAUGCCGCGUGUAUGAAGAAGGCCUUCGGGUUGUAAAGUACUUUCAGCGGGGAGGCGUUACCCGCAGAAGAAGCACCGGCUAACUCCGUGCCAGCAGCCGCGGUAAUAC